UGCUGAAACCUAUACAGUACUCUCCUACCCACCGUCAUUAACGUCUUGCUGACAAGCUUGUAUGUACAGCAAAUUGAUCUUACCCAGAAUUUAAGCACUUAACAUCCUGGAAGGACCACUGCUGCUAAAGAUGUUUUCUCCCCUGCUCUGCUUGGGAUUGCAGGCAGAGCCACGGCAGCACCAAGGGAAUGGAGAUGUGGAUCAGUGUGACGUGAAAAUAUGGGCAGGAGAUAAGAGGAUUCUGAGACACAUCCGCUGGGAAGGGAGGUGCUGGGCAUCCAAAGAGGAGGAUGAAGGUCACAUGCAGGUGGAAAAUCCUCAUCACACCUUAAAGGAAGCAACAAGCAGCUUGGCCAAGGUCAAAGAACACAACCUUCUUCAGACCUAG
rnacentral:lncRNA from 1 species